AGCCAUCCCUGCCGAUUACUGGAGGUUACGUACCACGGAGGAUACGUACCAGGAGGUUACGUACCAUUUUUGGAGAAAGCAGUAUGACGGAAUCAGCCCACUGUUUAGUUUGUUCUAAAGAAGUUACAAGAAGACAACAUGCUUUACAAUGCGACCAAUGUAAUAAUUGGCAGCAUCGUUUAUGUGGGACAGGAAUAACACAGUCAGAUUACAGGAUGAUGGUGCGUGGUGUUAUUGAGGUCGAGUGGAGCUGUAGCAUAUGCAAGUCUCCGGUAAGUAAUACUGAUGAAUUUAAUUUAAUGAAAUUUCG